UGUUAUUAUAAUCAAAGGUUGCUUUUCGGAGGACUAAUCGCGGUAAGGAUGGGCCUGCGUUCAUUAGUUAGUUGGUGAGGUAAUGGCUCACCAAGACGACGAUGGAUAGCUGGGUUUGAGAGAGUGAUCAGCCACACUGGGACUGAGAUACGGCCCAG
rnacentral:rRNA from 1 species